UUCUCUGCUGUUAGUCAUAGGAUGUUGCAGACCUAUUUUGCAUACUGGCCUUGACAAGUUGAGGCUUGUUCAUUUGACACAGUCCUGUGGUCACAGCAAAUCUUUCUAAAACUCUAACCAGUGGAAAAGGUACUUGUGUGGAUCCUCUGAACCCUGAGUGGAACUUCCUGAAAGAUUUACUUGGAGAAAAACCUUGGAAGCAGCAGAAGGACAAACAGAAUGGCUGGCUGGGCAAAGCCUCCUGGCCCGGUCUCCACGACUGGAGGGCAGUUACAUCUUAGAGGCCUGAUCUUUGGACCAGAAAGGAAUGAAAAAGUUGCCCCUUACGAUGGCUGUGCCUUGUCAGUUGCUUGAAGCUGCAUUCAGGGAUUUCCUGAGCCUUAUGGAUUUACAGUGACAUUCAGCUGCCCAAGAAUGACGGCGGAGGAAGCAUGGUCUGGAAUCACACGCACUGGCCACACGUUUGGAUGUUAAUGGCAGUUUUCAAGAAGACCAUGGCUGAGUGCCUGGCAGAUCCCCCUAUGGGGGACAGAGGACCGCGGCUUCCUGUGAUGCCUGGGAUCUCUGCCCUGUGUCUGCAUAAGCGUUGGCUUGGGUCGUGACCAGCCUCACUGAGGGUUCCUUUGAAACAAUCCCAUCAUGCCUUGGAUUUUGGUGCUGUCAGUCUGAAAAGCAGACGUACCCGUCUGGUACUCUAGAGGGAAUGUCCUUUCCUGAAUGAAAAAGCUGGGCCAUUUGGGGAUUUGGAGAAUAAAGCCCUCCCGACACCCACCUGAUAUGACUGUGGAUGUUGUAAGAACAAAGGAAUGAGUAACUCACAAGGAGGAAGGAGAAAGUAAGAGAGAGAACACCCAAAGAAGAAAGUUCUUAAAGACUUAGAGCAAAGAAUGAGCCUACGCUCCGGAUCCAGGUAGCCGACUUCAGAAGCGGGAGUACAGCGAAAGUGCCUCAGUCUCUUGUGGGAUCACCCUUUUCCCCGGAGCACCUGGCAUUAGGGCUGGAACAAGAUGCCCUCACUGGGAAUGCAGACAAGGGUCGAUGGGACUCUAGUCAUUGGCGGGACGAGCUGCGAGCUGGGAGCACCAUCUCUUGCUGCCGCAGCCGUGAACAUGAACGGUGUCGCCUUCAUUCUGUGAAUGGAAGAGCGGCCUGACCCAUCAUCUGUCUGGGGGUGACGGGAAAGGAGCGUCCCCAGAAUUUAGCUGCCGGGAGUAGGCACAUGAAACAGGGGUGGGUGCUGAGCUUCCGAGGAGCGGCGUGGUGAACACCCCGGCAGGGCUGGUCUCUGCUGGGGCCUCCGAGGAAGGUGUGCACCCUGUGCUGGUGCGUGUGGUUCUGGCCGCCCGAGGACACCGUCGUUCCGCCGGGGGCCUGUCUGCCCACACCCCUGCCGUCUGUGAGCCUGGGUCCUGGAACAGAGGUUGUCAGGCUGUGAUUUUAGCGGCGUCCUGAGCUCCUAUGGAGAUUUGCCUCUCUCCAGCCUUGGGCUAUCUGCAUUCCUGAACAUCUCUGGGCCCAGAAGGAAAAGGAGAAUGCUGACCAGCUCUGGGAAUGGCCUGAAUGAGGAGAGGCGAGAGAACUGCUCAGACAUGUUAAGUAACUCAGCAGAGGUCACACAGCUAAGGGACACAGAGGAACGUAUCAAGUAGUGAAGGCCAUUUUCCAUCACUGCUGUCCUCCACGAGCUUAUGUCUGGAAUGGGAGGCAUCUUUGCACCAAUGAACGGGUUGGAUGGAGCCCAGAAAACACUUGACACAGGUAGCAUUGACCCAGAGAGAAGUGAAUCCUUGUGUCCAGUGACUAGAAGACACGCGAACCUGGAACAAGGAGCCCAGGAGGUUGCUGUGCUUCCCCCACAUAGGAGAGCACCCACCCCCUCCUGCCCCUCGCCUGUAACACAUGAUACAUUUAGCAGUGAUUUGGUCACUGCUGAGCUGUCUUCAUUUCAUGUGAUUUUGACAGCAGAGUCGGUCUGGAAAUUGUAUUUUCAAUUAAACCCCCUUGUUGAGCCGCUUUGGUUUUGAAAGGAUCCCAUUAGGGUGGAUAAUUAUACAGCAGUUGCUAUAGGGAGAUAUUUGCCUCAAUUUCCGCUCUUAGGUGAUUCAAAUCAAAUGUUAUUUCUUUUCCUUCUCGGAGCUGUGUGUGACCAUUUUCCUCAUACUAUAGGCUUCUCAUGAGUUAUUUUUGGAAAUCCAAAGCAAAACAGCCGUUUUGGCGGAGGCCGUUUCUAGCCUAGCAGAGUAAGCCAUAUGUACCAAUAAACACAGCCAAAGAGUCCGUGUCUUUCAAAAACACCAAAACCAUCUCCCUCUGUGGGGGUUAAAUUCUUGGGGACCACAGACUGUCCUUUGUAUCAUCCUGUAUUCCUUUGUGAACUCUAGUUAACUGAAGUCAAAGACAAUUGAAAAUCCUUUAAAAUUUGGCACCCCUGGGGGGCUCAGUUGAGCAUCUGACUCUUGGCUUCGGCUCAGGUCAUGGUCUCGGGGUCGUGGGAAGGAGCCCCACACGAGGCUCCGCCCUCAGCGCUGAGUCUGCUUGGGGUUCUCCUUCUCCCUCCCGCUGCUCCUCCCCCUGCUCACAUGCUCUCUCUUUCAGACAGAAUAAAUUAAAAAAAUAUAUAGAUAGAUAGAUAUUUAUCAAAGUUCUGUCCAUUUGCGAACAAUUGUCAUUGCCCUUUUGUUCAAGAUCGCAGGCCUUGACAGAAUUUUACUGGGGACAGUCUGGUCUCUGGUCUCCCAUGAAACACAGAAAUCCCUAUAUUUUCCCACUCCCUACUGUUUCCUUCCCUCCCCAGAACACACGUAACCUACCUCAUUACGUGACUGAAGCAGACACAUCUUCCUCUCACCCAGUAGCAGUAAGUGUGCAAAUAGUAGGAUGGAUACAAAGAUGAAUGAAUAAAAUCCCAUUUUCCUCUUAAAAAAAAAAAAAAAAAAAAAAAAAAAAAAAACUUGGGGUGCCUGGGUGGCUCAGUGGUUAAAGCCUCUGCCUUCGGCUCAGGUCAUGAUCUCAGGGUUCUGGGAUCGAGCCCUGCAUCAGGCUCUCUGCUCAGCGGGGAGCCUGCUUCCCCUUCUCUCUCUGCCUGCUGCUCUGCCUACUUGUGAUCUCUCUCUUUGUCAAAUAAAUAAAUAAAAUCUCAAAAAAAAAAAGUUUAUUACGCAAAUAGUAAAUGAAUGUUUUUCACCUGGGGAGGGUGCUUUCCAAAUAAAGCUAAGUUCUUUUUAAUCACUGGGUCCCUAUCCUGGUUUGUUCAUCAGCUCUGCUUGGGUUAUUUGGAACACAACCUUGUAGACUUUUCUAAUGUACUUUCAUGCACACGCGCAUGUACACACACACAAGUGGGCGCAUGCGUGCCCAGGCACAGGGUGCUGUUAUUUAGACCUUUGAUAAACUAAUUACUUGCUUUUCUCCCCUUAGCAACAGAUCCUGGAGUUCUUUUUUAACUGCCACCGAAUUUUAUCCCAUUGUGUGGGUAUACCUUUUAUUCGAUCAAAUACCUAUAAUGCAUUUCAUGAAAAUCAGCCAGCUGCCUUGGAGAUGAUGCCAAACCAGUUGACAGAAUCCUGGGAAAUGCUGAGGAUUGCCAGAGGGACCUGAAUCGCCUUGUCUGUGGAAACAAGGGAGAUGUACUGUGCCUGGGAAAUGCCACAGGUCUCCAGAGAGAGUGAUGUUAGAUAUCGCGUUGGCUCUGCUCAUAGUCAUCUGACGUUCUUUGAUCAAGUCAAUUCCUCUCCGCGGACCCUUAUUUUCUCAUCUGCACAAUGGACUCAGUAAGCCUUUUCCAUUACUGGACUCUGAAUAAUGGGAUUUACACAAAGCCCCAGGUUUCUUACACAGAAUGGAUGAGCCCACCCUUCACUAUGGGUCCAGAUGGGAGAGGGGCAAUUUUAGGAUAUAUUUUAAAUUUAAUUUUAUUGAAUUAAGUAUGUUUUGUAUAUUUUAAUUGAAAUAUGUAUAUUUUAAUUUUUUUUUAAGAUUUUAUUUAUUUAUUUGACAGAGAGAGAUCACAAGUAGGCAGAGAGGCAGGCAGAGAGAGAGGAGGAAGCAGGCUCCCUGCUGAGCAGAGAACCCGAUGCGGGACUCGAUCCCAGGACCCUGAGACCAUGACCUGAGCCGAAGGCAGAGGCUUUAACCCUCUGAGCCACCCAGGCGCCCCGUAUAUUUUAAUUUUUAAAGAUUGUUUUAUUUAUUUAUUAUACAGAGAGAAUGAGUGAGAGCCCAGGAGUGGCGGCCCAGAGGGAGAAGCAAACUCUCCCCGCUGAGGAGGGAUCCUGACUCAGGGUCGAUCCCAGGAAAUUGGGGUCAUGAGCUGAAGGCAGACAAACUUGUAACCAACUGAGCCACCCAGGCACCCCAAAAUAUAUUUUAAAUUUUUUAACUGGAGAUGCAGCCCAGAGCUCUUAGCUGGGUAGAAGUCACGAAGUCCAGAAUGUACCACCUUUGGGUCUUACUCUUAUUACUUUAUUAUCCAACUAAAAUGUAUAUAUUUUCUUUUUCUUUUGCUCUGUGCGAGCUUUCUGUUCUAAGCAAGGCCAUGCGGUGUUGAAAAAAGAAGUCAUAGACCUCCAGUUCUUACAGGCUUCUGUAGUUCCAGCUGUGUGGUCUUAGACAAGUCACAAACCUCUGGAUGUCCAACAGUUCAUACUACGAUUUCAAAUUAGUCAAAUAUCUGCUUAAAAAAAAAAAAAGUAAAAAUCACACCCACGUGUGUUUCAUCUGGCAUUUCUGAGCCUUGUCACCUGUAGAUAGUUCAUCUUGCGACUUGAUGGGACACCCUAAAAGGCCACCAAAACCCCUGAAAUCACCUUUCCCAUGAGAAGUGUGCAGCUGCCCUAGUCCCCAGUGAAGACCUUCAGUGGGUUUCCAGGGAGGCCUAGCGAAGGUUCUGCGAAGCCAUGAUUCAUAGGUAGACUUCCCCUCACCCCCCGAACCCCAGAGCUCGUGUUGUUGUGUAACCCCUGCUUUGAGACCCAGGACCACACGGGUCCCAGGGUGAUUCACACACAGGCUGGGUUUCCCUCGGGGUCCCAGUCAGGUUUUUCCCACGUGGGGCGAGAAUUCUGGCCCCUGGCCUUGGCAUUACACAUUGGUCUGGAGAUAGUGCAGUCGUGCAGGUGAAAGGUCGUGGUCAGUGGGUGUGAAAACUGCGUGGGUGCUGUAGCCCCACAGAGUUUCUGGGGUUCAGUUUCCCUGCUCCCCACACUUUUUCACCCUCCUGUGAGCUUCUGUAUCUGAACAUCCCUUGGGGUCAGUGUUCCUGGUUGUGCAGGUCUGUACGGGCUGAAGACAGUCUGGGCAGCUCCCCCACCGCGAGCUCCUGAGGCCAGGAGCAUCACCUUGCCGGAUCCUGCUCCGUCUUGAAGAGAUGAAAUAGGAUUGCAGCAGGUGUUCAGUCCAAGCUACCAUCCCUCCCCUUCCCCUGGAAAACAACUUUAUAUGCUCUGAGUCUGUAACAGUUUCCAAAAGCCUGCCAUAAAUAUUGUUCACGUGACCCAAAAUGAAACAAAAAGGCAUCCUUGUGAAUGGAGAGAAUAGCAUCAGCAUGAUGCGUAUCUUUACUUCGUGGGAAAAGGGACUGAUGGGUCCUAUUCAUUUAUCUACCCUCACUCAUCCGGGAGUACUUUUCAGCAGGUGUCUUCCCUGUCCCCCAUCCCCAUUUCAAUAAAACACUUACAAACCUGCUUUGCAUUGUUACAGAUAAAUGUAGAGCGAGUCACAGUGUGCCUUCCUACACUUGACCCCCCUCCAAGUGAUCAAUAUAGUUUUAAUUCACAGCCUGGAAACUUUAAGAAUGAGUCAACCUGACCUAUGAUUCACAGAUACUUGAUCUGAAAUGCUUGAUGUUGAGGGGGUGGGGUGGGAGGUAGAAUCAGAAAUAAGUUUCCUGACUCUAAAAAUCAGCAUAAGGGAAAAAGCAUGGGGUUCAGGAGGGUGGGGGCAGGGGGUAGUUAUCAUCUUAUAGUUUGUAGGAAUGGUCCCUGCCUUUGGGGAGACACCUUGUGUUGGGAGGACUUAGGGUGACCACAGAGCUCCCGUUUAUGCCUGUCUAUGCAGUUAGUGUGCUUUUCCACCAUUAAAAGUAUUGCAGUGUGGAAACAUAAAUAAAGGUCAGAGGUUUUACUUUACUCAUACGUGUAUCCCCAGUGCCUGGCCUCUAGUAAACAGUUAGUAAAUACAGCCUUGCUGGGUAGGUGAGUGAGUAAAGAGUUUUAACCUUCUCUCUUGAUCCCCGUAUUUCUUUUUUUCAUAUGUCUUUGUAUGCUCCGUACCCCUAGGGUGACUGUACUAUGUUCUCAACAGUAUCUUUUCGAUUAAGCCAGAGAUCCAGAUACCAGUCGCUUUGGUUGAAUGUAUGCAACAGGAGCUGUGUAGCCUUGUGACUUGCAGGGAGUUACCCAAAUGAUUUACAAUUUAUCCAAAUACAAAGAACACUAACUUCCCUGCCUGCAGCACUACUCAGUUCUGGUGGAACUGGAGCUGGUGCAUUUAGGAUUAGCUGUCUGGCUUUGCUACCAUUCUUGUCAUUCUCUUCCUUAGCUAGGGGGUCAUAGACCUUCAAAAAUACAUGUUAUAAAUAUAUAUUUAAAAUAUUAUAAGAGGGACGCCUGGGUGGCUCAGUUGGUUAAGCGGCUGCCUUCGGCUCAGGUCAUGAUCCCAGCGUCCUGGGAUCGAGUCCCACAUCGGGCUCCUUGCUUGGCACGGAGCCUGCUUCUCCCUCUGCCUCUGCCUGCCACUCUGUCUGCCUGUGCUUGCUCUCGCUUCUCUAUGACAAAUAAAUAAAAUAAAAAAUCUUUAAAAAAAAAAUAAAAUAUUAUAAGAAAUGGGAAAAGAAAUUUUAAAAAGCUAUCCAUAAUCUUAUGACGCUCCAUGGCAUCAGAGCAAUUACGUUAUCAAAGGACUAGAAACCAUUUGUGUUGUUUUACAUAGUUAUCCUAAGAAGCUGUUCACUGUUUCCCCAUGGGCAUUUUUCUGGAAGCACUGUCCAUGUUCAGAGCAGUUUCAGCUGCCGUUGUUUAGUUUGCUUGUAUCUAUGUACUUGCUAGCGAGCAAUUCCAGGUUGCUUACUCUUUUCUCCUUCUAUAAAUGAACCUGUCCUUCUAAUAUGUCCUGUUUCUCAGGAUAAUCUCAGAAGUACAAUCCUCUGAUCAAAAUAUAUGAAAUUUAUUUAAAAAUUAUAUCUAUCUAACAAUAUAGAGAUAUUUAAUAGACUUUAUUUUUAGGGAAAUAAUAGGUUUAUUUAAAAAAAUUGAGAAGAAAGUAUAGAGCUAUAUACCAAACGCCCUCACCACCAUUUCCCAUAUUGUUAACAUCUGACACUUGUGUGAUACAUUUGUUACAAGUUAUGAAACAACACAUUAUGAUUAAAGUCCAUACUUUAUAUUCAGGGUCCACUCUUUCUGUUGUAUCAUUCUGUGGAUUUUUGACACCUGCAAAAUGUCGUUUACCCACCAUUAUAUUAUCACACAGCAUAGCUGCACCAUCCUAACAAUCCUGUGUUCCACCAAUUUAUCUGUCCCUAAUUCCUCCCAAACUCCUAGAAACCUCACUGAUCUUUUACUGUCACCAUAGUUUUGCCUUUUCCAGAAUGUCUUAUGGUUAGAAUCACAUAGUAUGUCAUCUUUUCUGUUUGGUUUCUUUCACUUAGUAUCAUGUAUGUAAGACCCCUCCAUGUCUUUGUAUGCCUUGAUAAUUCAUAUCUUUUUAGUGCUGAAUAAUUUCCAUUACCUGAGCGUACCCUGGUUUGCUUAUUCAUUCACCUACUAAAGGGCAUCUUGGUUGCCUCCAAGUAUUAGCAAUUACAAAUAAAGCUGGUGUAAAGUGUG